rnacentral:tRNA from 1 species
GGAGAAAUACCCAAGAGGCCGAAGGGGCUCCCCUGGAAAGGGAGUAGGUCGGGAGAACCGGCGCGAGGGUUCGACUCCCUCUUUCUCCG